rnacentral:rRNA from 1 species
GCGCGAAAACUUUACAAUGCUGGCAACAGCGAUAAGGGAACCUCGAGUGCCAGGUUACAAAUCUGGCUGUCGAGAUGCCUAAAAAGCAUUUCAUAGCAAGGGCCGGGCAAGACCGGUGCCAGCCGCCGCGGUAACACCGGCGGCUCGAGUGGUAACAGUUAUUAUUGGGUCUAGAGGGUCUGUAGCCGGCCGGAUAAGUCUCUUGAGACAUCUGGCAGCUUAACUGUCAGGCUUUCAGGAGAUACUGUCUGGCUCGAGGCCGGGAGAGGUGAGAGGUACUCCAGGGGUAGGGGUGAAAUCUUGUAAUCCUUGAAGGACCACCAGUGGCGAAGGCGUCUCACCAGAACGGACCUGACGGCAAGGGACGAAAGCUAGGGGCACGAACC